UGCCACCAUUUUUUUGUUCAAUUGUGUUAUGUGCUAUCUGGGUAUUAGAGACAUUAGAAUAUUGCACAUAAAAUCUUAGUGGGUUUAGGAUAUACGUCAUCCUAAUUCCCUGUGAGUGUUAUUCUAACAUCUUUAUUUCUGCUCUUUUGACUGUGUUUUCAGUUGGGUUUGCUUUGUUUUCUGUUUUCUUGAAGUGGGUUGUCCUUGACUUUAGUGGGUUUUGGUUUAUGUGCUGUGGUUUUUGAUCAUCUUUUUCAUGAUCGACUUCCUAAUGAUUGAGCAAGUUCGAACUUGGGUAUUAAUUUCUAUGUUGAAUUUGAAUUUGGGAAUUUAUCGAGGCAAUUAUGUAAAAUCUCCCCAACUUGGAAAGAUUUUGUCUUAUCCAUCCUAGCAAAUUUAUCUGCUAAGCGUAUAAGUGAUUGUAAAUGCUCUUUGUGCCUAGGUAUGCACGUGUGCCCUCAAAGGAGAGAUUUUUUUAAAAAAAUUUCUAUCUACUGAGCAUCUAAAGAGUAGAGAUGGAUUUGAAACUUAUACAUGCAUUAAAGCAGUAGCAGAGGCAUUGAGUGUCCAGUCAGCUUAUGCGCCUGUGUGUGGUUGCUAUUUUGUAGAAUUGGGAGAAAAUGAUUUGUUAUUUUAUUGACUGUGUUUGAGAGAAUUGUGGAGAUUGACGCAUCAGUUAUUUUUACUGGUUGACUAAAGUGAUAUAUUUAUUGAAUGUUUUUUUUUUUUUGCAUGGGAUAUCUCCAUAUAUCUGGGUGUUGGGACAUCGUCUUUGAGGCAGCUUUUGAAACGUUUUGGAGCUUUUUGACUGUGUUUGAAGGUUAGUUAGAUAGAUGGCCGAACUAGACAAAAGCUGGAUGAAUAUUAUCAACCGUUUGGACCCUGAUUAUAUUAGGGGGGUUGAGGGAUUUCUUGAUUUUGCUUUUCGACACCCAAGAGUAGGAAAUCUGAUAUAUUGCCCGUGUCGAAAGUGCUUUAAUGGACAUCUUAAGACUAGAGAGAAUGUUAAGGAAGAUUUGAUCAUAAGUGGGAUAGUUCGUACUUACACCUUUUGGAACUUCCAUGGCGAAGAACGAUCGGCUACCGUUGACAAUGAAGAUGAUGAGCUUGAGCUUGAGGUGGAAUGUGAUGAAAUAGAUGAGUUGAUAGCAAAUACCUUACCAGGUCUUAAUCCGGAGAAUUUUGCCGACCAUGAAUAUGAUGUGGGUACUACUAGUAGUACUAUGUCACAAAAUGAGGCUGAAAGAAUUUAUAGGGUUCUUCAAAAUGCCAAAACUAGCAUAUAUCCUGGUUGUGAGAUUUCAUUACUCUCAUUCAUCUUAAAACUCCUACAUAUUAAAUGUGUUGGGGGGAUGAAUAAUAAUGCAUUCACCAUGUUGCUUAAAGAGUUGAAGAAUGCUUUUCCUAGUGGUGAAACACUACCGAAGUCGUAUUAUGAGGCAAAAAAGAUUUUCCAAGAUCUUGGGCACUCAUAUAACAAGAUAGAUGCAUGCGUUAAUGAUUGUGUUCUAUUUCGCAAAGAACUUUGAUCAACGAGCGAGAGGAGGGAUUGAACUCCUUAGACGACGAGCACAUCUUCACCCAAGUUCUCGGGCCAGACAGACCUGGUCGUGUGCGUUGUCGAGGACAUGGAGUAGUGCCAUCUUCUGAAGGUUUUAAUAGUAGGUCAGGAUCCUCUCAAUCUAUACAAGAAGCAAAAAGAGCUGCUGAGAUUGCGCAAAGAGAAGCUGAAGCGGCAAGGAACGAGCUUGAAGACUAUAAGAAAAUAUCCGAUGAGAGAGCAAGAAAAAUGGAGGAAGAUGUGGCUAGGCUUACGCAGGCUUUGCUGAGAUUUACAGAAAGGGGCAAUGGUGAUAACCCUUAACAUGAUAGGUGUGGAACUGCAACUAUUUUGCUGUAUUGCACUGUGAUCUUGACGAAGAACAUUGAGAAAUGAGGACCUGCUCAUUUUGGUAGAGGCUGACAAUGCAGUUUCUCUUGCUAUCUGACCAAGCUAGAUAGUUUAUUAUCAGUACUUGUGGAACCUAUUCUAUCAUUAUGUAUGUUCACAGAUAGUAUGUUUUUAUCAUUUGUGGAACCUAUUCUAUCACUUGUGGAACCUAGAUAGUUUUAUGUAUGUUUUUGGCUAAUUAUAUAUUAUCACUUGUGGAGAAUGAAAAGUCAUAUAUUUUUAA